UCACUUACCUGGACGGGGUCAAUGUGCGAUCAUGAAGGUCCAUGGCCUAGGUUGUUGACCUCAAUUGCACUCAGGAGGGAGUGCCUGCCUAAGGUCGGCCCAAGUGGUCGAGCCUACGUCAUAAUUUGUGGCAAUGGGGGCCUACGUUCCUGCAGCUUCUGA
rfam:Helianthus annuus linkage group 8, whole genome shotgun sequence.